UCCUGUGGAAUGACCUGCAGGUAUCAGGAAUGGACAGAUGGCAUACAUAACUAUGAUGACCGUAUACUACUUGGAUUACAUUUCUGUUUAUAUCUAAGAGCCUCUCUUACACAAAUAUUAUUACACAAAUAAACAAAUAUUUGUUUACACAUACUUUACUAUACAUUUUAUACUUACAUUAGGGUUUUUAUUUCUUCUUUCAGACUCACAAUGCCUUAGGCACAGUUUUUGAAGCAAUGGAGCAGUCCUUGGGGAUUCCCCUCCCAAAUCACAAUAAACUUCUUCAGGCAUAUCUGCAUUUUGAAGCCCUUACUACAAGUUUUCUUGUGUAAAAUGUGGUCACCAUCCCCCUGUAGUUAUAAUGAAUCUCCAUAAGAAAGGAGUGUUUAACAUGCCUGGCAAGUACACUUAAGUUCUGACUAUGAUUAUUAGUACUUCAUAUUUCUUUACUGUAUUAUGAAAACAACAUUUAAAAUGCAUGAGUAAAGUUGGUGAUAUUUUAACAGUUAGCAACAUCCAAAACUCCCCCUGUAGCUACUUGGGCAAAGUCGAUGUGAAAGACUUUUGGAAUUCUGUCUCUCUGGAGAUGAUUGCACAUGGCUUUCUGUCUAGUAAGAACUGUUGCAUAAUUUUAGUUGGUGUUGUGUAGGACUUAUUAUAACCGUAUUUUCUCUACAGGUACCACACAGAAUCCAUGUGCUACAAAACCUACAUUCGAAUUUUGGGCUCUCUGAAUUAGUGAACAUACAUGGUAUUCCAAUCUAGUGCUGAACACAGAAUGGGGAAAAAUUCAUCAUCCAAGACAGCCAGCAGAGGGAGCAGAUGUAUCAAUCACAGAAGACCAACUUUUGAACAAAGUCAUGACAUUAAACUUGAUUCCAUUAAGAAGUUAUGUAAGGAGAGUGGCUUGGACAGCUCAGGUUCAAAAAUGGACCUGAAAUUUAAUCGAGACAAAUGUAUGACAAAAUCUUUGAGAAAAUUUGGGGUUCUUCAGGUGGCUGGGCAGUGGUAAUGUACCCCUGUGGAAUUGUCUACUCUGUUUAUUUAAUUUACGAUCAGAGAGUCCAUAAGAUUACAUGGAUAUAUUUCUAUCAUGGAAACACAUGCCCAACGUUGUUAUUUUUUGAUUUUGCAAGAGGACUAGCAACACAUGGGAAUCUUCGAGAACCACAAAGGAUUCCAUUUAGUCCACAUGAAGGGCGACUGCUGGAGCCAAAUAGGACAACAUAAAGCUUGCAAAAGACAAAAAACAGUCUUGAGAUGGCUUCUUGAGAAAAAAAGACUGCCUGAUGCUCAUAGCCAUCCGCUCACUGGAUCUGCAGAACAUUAUUUCUUGUAUGACACUUUGCAUGAGUCAA